rnacentral:rRNA from 1 species
CCUACGGGUGGCAGCAGUGAGGAAUAUUGGUCAAUGGGCGCGAGCCUGAACCAGCCAAGUAGCGUGAAGGAUGACUGCCCUACGGGUUGUAAACUUCUUUUAUAAAGGCAUAAAGUGAGGCACGUCUGCCUUUUUGUCUGUACUUUAUGAAUAAGGAUCGGCUAACUCCGUGCCAGCAGCCGCGGUAAUACGGAGGAUCCGAGCGUUAUCCGGAUUUAUUGGGUUUAAAGGGAGCGUAGAUGGGUUGGUAAGUCAGUUGGGAAAGUUUGCGGCUAAACCGUUAAAUUGCAAUUGAUACUGGCAGUCUUGAGUACAGGUGAGGUAGGCGGAAUUCGUGGUGUAGCGGUGAAAUGCUUAGAUAUCACGAAGAACUCCGAUUGCGAAGGCAGCUUACUAAACUGCCACUGACGUUGAUGCUCGAAAGUGUGGGUAUCAAACAGGAUUAGAUACCCGAGUAGUC